AAUGGCUGUCGUCAGCUCGUGCCGUGAGGUGUUAGGUUAAGUCCUGCAACGAGCGCAACCCCUGUCACUAGUUGCCAUCAUUAAGUUGGGGACUCUAGUGAGACUGCCUACGCAAGUAGAGAGGAAGGUGGGGAUGACGUCAAAUCAUCACGGCCCUUACGCCUUGGGCCACACACGUAAUACAAUGGCCGGUACAGAGGGCAGCUACACAGCGAUGUGAUGCAAAUCUCGAAAGCCGGUCUCAGUUCGGAUUGGAGUCUGCAACUCGACUCUAUGAAGCUGGAAUCGCUAGUAAUCGCGCAUCAGCCAUGGCGCGGUGAAUACGUUCCCGGGCCUUGUACACACCGCCCGUCAAGCCAUGGAAGUCUGGGGUACCUGAAGUCGGUGACCGUAACAGGAGCUCCUAGGUGACCGU
rnacentral:rRNA from 1 species